AGCAGCCGCGGUAAUUCCAGCUCCAAUAGCGUAUAUUAAAGUUGUUGCAGUUAAAAAGACUCGUAGUUGAAUUUCGGGAUUAGUACGCUGGUCGUGCCUUUGGUAUGUACUGGUGUUACUGGUUCCUACCUUCUGACGAACCGUCAUGUCAUUAAUUUGGUGUGGCGGGGAAUCAGGACUGUUACUUUGAAAAAAUUAGAGUAGUUUAAAGCAGGCUCGCGCUUGAAUACAUUAGCAUGGAAUAAUGAAAUAGGACGUUCGAUCCUAUUUUGUUGGUUUCUAGGAUUGACGUAAUGAUUAAUAGGGAUAGUUGGGGGCAUUAGUAUUCAAUUGUCAGAGGUGAAAUUCUUGGAUUU
rnacentral:rRNA from 1 species